rnacentral:rRNA from 1 species
UACGGAGGGUGCAAGCGUUGUUCGGAAUUAUUGGGCGUAAAGCGCGUGUAGGCGGUCUUUUAAGUCUGAUGUGAAAGCCCCGGGCUCAACCUGGGAAGUGCAUUGGAAACUGGGAGACUUGAGUACGGGAGAGGGUAGUGGAAUUCCCAGUGUAGGAGUGAAAUCCGUAGAUAUUGGGAGGAACACCGGUGGCGAAGGCGGCUACCUGGACCGAUACUGACGCUGAGACGCGAAAGCGUGGGGAG